UACGAAGGGUGCAAGCGUUACUCGGAAUUACUGGGCGUAAAGCGUGCGUAGGUGGUUUGUUAAGUCUGAUGUGAAAGCCCUGGGCUCAACCUGGGAACUGCAUUGGAAACUGGCUUACUAGAGUGCGGUAGAGGGGUGUGGAAUUCCCGGUGUAGCAGUGAAAUGCGUAGAUAUCGGGAGGAACAUCUGUGGCGAAAGCGCCUUGCUGGGACAGUACUGACACUGAGGAACGAAAGCCAGGGGAGCGAAAGGG
rnacentral:rRNA from 1 species